rfam:Ictidomys tridecemlineatus contig085810, whole genome shotgun sequence.
AGGGUUGUGGCUCAGUGGUAGAGCACUUGCCUAGCAUGUGUGAAACACUGGGUUCGAUUCUCAGCACCACAU